UAUUGAGUUGAAUACAGUUGUCAGUCAACACUGCUCAUCACUUGCUUAGAUGAUUGACAGAUGAAACUGACAGACACUUUGUCAUAGUGAGCAGCAGUUAUUUGAGCAGCUGCCUGAUUUUUAUAUUGUACAAACUGUAUAUUCCCUCCCCUAACCCUACCCCUAAACCUAGAAAACUAACCUAAAAAACCCACAGAAAACUUUCUGCAUUUUUACAUUUUCAAAAAACAUCACUUAGUAUUAAAUCACAAUGAUCACAACAGCAUCUAUGUGGAUAAACUGUGGAUCAUUAAUAAACACAGUAAAACAGAUAAAAAACUGUGAUUUCACACCAUGUCACAAUAUCAGAAUGUGCAGACUGUGAAUCACUCACAAAGACAGUUGAUCAUCUGUUUGAAUAUAAAGAGGUUUAAAUAAAAUCAGAAUUACUUCAGCUCAGCAUUAAAGUCUCAGAAGUGACCAAUGACACAUCAUAAGACCACACACAAACAUAAAAACAACUAAAGAAAGAUAAACACUCACCUCAGAUCAUUCUGUUUCCUCUGAACUGUUGUACAGCAGCUGUGGAUUUUCUCUCACUUCUACAAUACCAGCAACUGUUUUCAGGACGAGACGUGAGAACGAAAAGAAUGAUGGUCUGACAUGUUAACACAAGCACUCACUCUGACAUGGUCUGUUACUCAUAAAGAUUCAUUCUCAGGAAACUGCUUGUAGGAUUAUCCAGGUGACGUAUGGGUUUGGCACUACAACUCCCAUAAGUCUUUGGGGCAAUUAUAAGAAUUGCGUCAUUACGUCGUUGGCGUGCUAUAAAAAGACGCACGGAAGUAUAGCACGUCCUCGUUUCAUUCAUUCAUUGACUCUGGAAACAAGCUAGCCUCAAGUAACUUAUGGUCUGUUUAUAAAGAGACGUACAGAAACGUAGCUCGCCCUCGUUUCAUUCAUUCAUUGACUGAGGAAAUAAGCGUGAGCUUGCAUCAGGUCACCUUUAUGUGCGGGGCAUAAGGCAGUCGUAUAUAUUUGUUUUAUAGAGAAGCCCUUGUGUGUUGAUGGUGAUUGGCCUGGUGAUGCAGUCUUCAGAGUGUUGAAUGAGUUGAGAACGAAUUAGGUUUCUUUUAAAGAAGAACCGUCUGGUUGAUUUAUUCUUCCCUUUUCUUAAAUCCAGUUCAUUUAAAGUUUUUCAUCAUUUCCAUGGCAGCUGCAGGAUCUCCUCCAAGGGUGUGACUGGCACUGGUGAGGUGGUCGGCAUUCUUCUGUGGUUCCUGGUGAUUGAUUUAUUCCUUUUGAGUGCCGUGGAUUUUGUGCUGUAUUUGGAGUGUGCACUGCGAGUAGUGGCUCUGUUUUUCUACACACAUAUGGUUGUGCCCUGUUGGAGCCCUGCGGUUCGUCAUAAAUUUGUUUUGUUUUUGUUCUUUUUCCUUGCUGAAUGAUGUGUACUAGUGUUUUAAACAUUUAAUUGUUUUUAUACAAAAUUUGGUAUUUAUGAAUGUGAAUAAAAGCUUGUACAAGCAAUACAUUUUCACUACA